AUCCUGGCUCAGGAUGAACGCUAGCGGCAGGCUUAACACAUGCAAGUCGAGGGGCAGCGCGUUGUAGCAAUACGAUGGCGGCGACCGGCGAAAGGGUGCGUAACGCGUGAGCAACCUGCCCGUAUCCGGGACAUAAGCGGUGGAAACGCCGUCUAAUUUCCCAUAACAACGAGGGCCGCAUGGUCCAUGUUUGAAAGAUGCGUCGGAUACGGAUGGGCUCGCGAGACAUUAGCUAGUCGGCGUGGUAACGGCACACCGAGGCGACGAUGUCUAGGGGUUCUGAGAGGAAGGUCCCCCACACUGGAACUGAGACACGGUCCAGACUCCUACGGGAGGCAGCAGUGAGGAAUAUUGGUCAAUGGGCGCGAGCCUGAACCAGCCAAGUAGCGUGCAGGAAGACGGCCCUACGGGUUGUAAACUGCUUUUAUGCGGGGAUAAAGUGUGGGACGCGUCCCUCAUUGCAGGUACCGCAUGAAUAAGGACCGGCUAAUUCCGUGCC
rnacentral:rRNA from 1 species